rnacentral:rRNA from 1 species
AUGCUGCUAGGCCUUUCCAAACGGAGGCUUUGCACGACUUGCUGUGCGUGUCGUUGGGUUUGCCCAUGGACAACUUCGGCCAUGCACAAGCACAGCCAUCUCCUCUGGUACCGUUUCAGCAAACGUUUACCAUCGUUCUCACCGAUUCGUCUGUGCGUGGCGAAUUUUGGCACUCACUUACCACCCGAGAGAUCAAGAAAGCAAGGGGGUCGUGGCAUCCAUGACGCAUUGAGAGUCAUGCACCUCGUGCCAAGGAAGGCAUAUAAUGGCAAGGAGGAAGGUUCAUCUCACCGCCGCCUUAUCAACGACUGUAUGCAUGACAUCUUGGGAGUUCAGCCAGAAAAUCAUGUUAUGCGCAAUGGAAAAGUGCAGUUUUCUGGCUCAAGCAAUAAUACAGAGCAAAUUUUACCCAAUACCGUUGAUUCUCAUGAUAUCUCUGCUUGUCCUUCCAUGAAUAAGCUCGCAAAGGUAAACAAGUUUAUGCUACUUGUGGAGCUGCAUAGGAGGGGAAUGAGUGCGGAUAUAUCUAUUUUAGCAUCUGCCAUGAGCUUUUGUGCUGUUAAGCAAUCCAUUAGGGGAGGUGUCCAGCUCCAUGCUCUACUGGUGAAAGUUGGUUAUGAAUUGUCAGUCCUUUCUGGCACCUCUCUAAUCAGCUUAUAUGCAAGAUGUUAUCAACUGGAGAAUGCUUGUCAGGUUUUUCAGAACAUGCCAGUUAAAAAUACCGUGUCGUGGACAGCACUCAUUUCUGGUUAUGCGCAGGAUAAUAAGGUUGAGCCUUGCCUCCAGGUGUUUCAGCUGAUGAGGCAGUCAGCGUGCAGGCCUAAUGACAUCACAUUUGCCACUAUCUUCAGUGUGUGCACUAACCACGCACUUCUUGCACUUGGUAAAAGUGUUCAUAGUCUAGAACUCAGAAUGGGUUUUGAUUUGUGUGUGCAUGUCUCAAAUGCACUGAUAUCAAUGUAUGCAAAGUGUGGGAGUAUAGAUGAGGCCCAGUCCAUAUUUGGGAGCAUUGCGUGCAAGGACCUGAUUUCUUGGAACUCCAUGAUAUUUGGAUAUUCACAGCAUGGCCUUGCUGAGCAUUGCCUAAGCUUGCUAAAAGAAAUGGAGGAGGAGCACAUAGCGCCUGAUGCAAUCUCCUUCCUUGGCAUCCUGUCAUCAUGUCGGCAUGCAUGCCUUGUAGAGGAAGGCCGGCACUGCUUCAAGGCAAUGAUCAGACUUGGAAUAGAGCCAGAGUUAGAUCACUACUCGUGUAUGGUAGACCUCCUGGGCCGGGCAGGAUUGCUCGAUGAAGCGUGGGAUUUGAUCCAUACAAUGUCCACGUCUCCAAAUGCAGUCAUAUGGGGUUCUCUGCUGGCUGCCUGUAGGGUGCAUGGGAACAUUCCGAUUGGCAUCCAUGCUGCAGAGCACCGUCUUAAGCUGGAGCCAAGUUGUGCUGCAACUCAUGUACAGCUAGCAAAUCUAUAUGCUAGCAUUGAUUGCUGGAGUGAUGUGGCCAGAGUGAGGAUGAUGAUGAAGGGGAGAGGACUGAAGACGAACACUGGGUGCAGCUGGAUAGAAAUUGGCAAUAAGGUUUAUACCUUCACAGCAGAAGACAGAUCAAAGAGCCAACAAGUAAAUCAUGUCUUGGCUGUUCUUGACUGCUUGCGCUCUCAUAUGGAAUACAAGGAUGAUUUGCUGAUAGAUGGUCUUGAGUUUGAUGAGCCUGAAUAUUUCAAGGUAAGUUCGAGCACUGAAUAA